CACGAGGGGUCCAGGGGAGCUUU
rnacentral:misc_RNA from 1 species